CAGUAGCCGCGGUAAUACAGAGGGUGCGAGCGUUAAUCGGAUUUACUGGGCGUAAAGCGUGCGUAGGCGGCUUCUUAAGUCGGAUGUGAAAUCCCUGAGCUUAACUUAGGAAUUGCAUUCGAUACUGGGAAGCUAGAGUAUGGGAGAGGAUGGUAGAAUUCCAGGUCUAGCGGUGAAAUGCGUAGAGAUCUGGAGGAAUACCGAUGGCGAAGGCAGCCAUCUGGCCUAAUACUGACGCUGAGGUACGAAAGCAUGGGGAGCAAACAGGAUUAGAUACCCGCGUAGUCCCUGUCUCUUAUAC
rnacentral:rRNA from 1 species